GGAGGGGAGCAUAAUACUGCAGUCGAGCGAGCUUGCCUAGAUGAUUUUAGUGCUUGCACUAAAUGAAACUAGAUACAAGCGACCGUCGGACGGGUGAGUAACACGUGGGUAACCUGCCCAAGAGACUGGGAUAACACCUGGAAACAGAUGCUAAUACCGGAUAACAACACUAGACGCAUGUCUAGAGUUUGAAAGAUGGUUCUGCUAUCACUCUUGGAUGGACCUGCGGUGCAUUAGCUAGUUGGUAAGGUAACGGCUUACCAAGGCAAUGAUGCAUAGCCGAGUUGAGAGACUGAUCGGCCACAUUGGGACUGAGACACGGCCCAAACUCCUACGGGAGGCAGCAGUAGGGAAUCUUCCACAAUGGACGAAAGUCUGAUGGAGCAACGCCGCGUGAGUGAAGAAGGGUUUCGGCUCGUAAAGCUCUGUUGGUAGUGAAGAAAGAUAGAGGUAGUAACUGGCCUUUAUUUGACGGUAAUUACUUAGAAAGUCACGGCUAACUACGUGCCAGCAGCCGCGGUAAUACGUAGGUGGCAAGCGUUGUCCGGAUUUAUUGGGCGUAAAGCGAGUGCAGGCGGUUCAAUAAGUCUGAUGUGAAAGCCUUCGGCUCAACCGGAGAAUUGCAUCAGAAACUGUUGAACUUGAGUGCAGAAGAGGAGAGUGGAACUCCAUGUGUAGCGGUGGAAUGCGUAGAUAUAUGGAAGAACACCAGUGGCGAAGGCGGCUCUCUGGUCUGCAACUGACGCUGAG
rnacentral:rRNA from 1 species